UAGUGAGAGAAACCGGUUAGAGAGAACCUAGAGAGAGGAGGAAGAAUGAACGGCCGGAAGACUCACCGAAACCUACCGUCGGAGUCUACUCCGGUCAAGAUCAUGAUGCAAGGAGCCUUUCUUGGAAGGGAAAAUAGAAUGUGGGUGGCCGGAGUCCCAUUUUCCAUCAAAGAAAUCAGAAAAACCCGCGAGGAACAACUCUCUACAGGAUCUUUGAAGAAGUUUGGCUGAAACCUCUAUCCGAAGGCAGAAACCCGAAAAUCGUCCAAGAAUGGUGAGCGAACUUCCAACACUCCUUACUCAUCCGGUAGUCAAGCAAAA